GAUGAACGCUGGCGGCGUGCCUAAUACAUGCAAGUCGAGCGAACAGACGCGGAGCUUGCUCCUCUGACGUUAGCGGCGGACGGGUGAGCAACACGUGGAUAACCUACCUAUCAGACGGGGAUAACUUCGGGAAACCGGCGCUAAUACCGGAUAAUAUAUUGAACCGCAUGGUUCAAUAGUGAAAGACGGCUUUGCUGUCUGUUCUAGCUGGAUCCGCGCCGCAUUAUCUAGUUGUUAAGGUAACGGCUUUCCAAGGCAACCAUGCGUAGACGACCUGAGAGAGUGAUCGCCGACACGGGAAGUGAAACAGGGUCCAGACGCCUGCGGGACGGAGCAGUAGGGAAUCGUCGGCAGUGGGCGAGAGCCUGGCGGAGCAACGGCGAGUGAGUGAUGAAGGUCUUCGGAUCGUAAAACUCUGUUAUUAGGUAAGAACAAAUGUGUAAGUAACUAUAGACGUCGUGACGGUACCUAAUCAGAAAGCAACGGCUAACUACGUG
rnacentral:rRNA from 1 species